GGCGGCAGGCCUAACACAUGCAAGUCGAACGGUACAGGAAGAAGCUUGCUUCUUUGCUGACGAGUGGCGGACGGGUGAGUAAUGUCUGGGAAACUGCCUGAUGGAGGGGGAUAACUACUGGAAACGGUAGCUAAUACCGCAUAACGUCGCAAGACCAAGAGGGGGACCUUCGGGCCUCUUGCCAUCGGAUGUGCCCAGAUGGGAUUAGCUAGUAGGUGGGGUAACGGCUCACCUAGGCGACGAUCCCUAGCUGGUCUGAGAGGAUGACCAGCCACACUGGAACUGAGACACGGUCCAGACUCCUACGGGAGGCAGCAGGUGGGGAAUAUUGCACAAUGGGCGCAAGCCUGAUGCAGCCAUGCCGCGUGUAUGAAGAAGGCCGUUCGGGUUGUAAAGUUACUUUCAGCGGGGAGGAAGGGAGUAAAGUUAAUACCUUUGCUCAUUGACGUUACCCGCAGAAGAAGCACCGGCUAACUCCGUG
rnacentral:rRNA from 1 species